rnacentral:tRNA from 1 species
CCAGCAGUAGUUCAGUUGGUAGAACACUUCAUUUGGGAUGAGGGGUCGAGCGUUCAAGCUGUUCCUGUUGGACCA